GACGCAGCUGUUGUCAUGUCAACAGAUAACAAAACAUGUUUUGUUGAAGGAUUAUUGAUGAAUAAUUUUCCACAAAAAAUUGGAUUUUAACCACGAUAGGAAAAUGAGAACCUGCGCCUAUCCGUUUAAACCGAUUGUAGAAUUUAUGGAAAGAUAUGGCGAUCUGAGUAAGCCCACUGAAGGGCCCCAAGAAAGAGCCAACAAUAGUCAACGGUGGGUGGAACUAAAGGACACGCGAACGUGAAAUGCUGAUGCCACCGGCGACACGAAAACUACUGAGAAAUUGAGAAAAGUGUGGAGUGACUUUAAACAUCAAGAAGAAGGCAACUCGCAUACACAGAGCUGCCAAGGGAACACUGGACUGGUGGCGGUCCAGGUUCUUCCCUGAAGUCAAAGGAUUUAGAGCAGAGUGCUUGUAAAUAACUACUUGUAAAUUAAAUCCAUAAUAAAGACCUAGGGUAACUGGAUGGAUAUACCUACCUUAUUAUUGUAAAACUUAAGAUAUUAUAAUUAAUUAAAUACA